AUUCAGGACUUUGUGUGGUUUACACAAUACCCCCUGUGCUGCUACUGAUGAGUCAACUGAGGUCACCGUGAACAAAGUAACCCCAAGUCAAACACCUCAGAGUAGGUGAUGGGUACAGCAAGAAGUGGAGUAAGAAAACUAAAGUCCUAAGUCUUAAUAGGGUCGUGUGCCUACAACACAUUUAAUUAUGAAUAUAUGGGAUGCAAGAAAACUUGCUGUUAGUUGUGUUUAAUAUGCAAAGUUUGUUCAGCAUGUGGCACAGCUGGAUGCUCAUUAUAUCUCCUAUUUUUAUUAAUUAUCUGCACAUUUUUCUUUUUGACACUGAGGAAUGAAACUCCAACUUGACUCACUGGCAGAGGUUUGCAACUUUAUAUGCAGUUAUUCAAAC